AGCGAACGCUGGCGGCAGGCCUAACACAUGCAAGUCGAACGAAGUCUUCGGACUUAGUGGCGGACGGGUGAAUAGCACGUGGGUACGUACCUUUUGGCUCGGAACAACUCAGGGAAACUUGAGCUAAUACCGGAUGAGCCCUUAGGGGGAAAGAUUUAUCGCCGAAAGAGCGGCCCGCGUUGGAUUAGCUAGUUGGUGAGGUAAAGGCUCACCAAGGCUACGAUCUAUAGCUGGUCUGAGAGGAUGAUCAGCCACACUGGGACUGAGACACGGCCCAGACUCCUACGGGAGGCAGCAGUGGGGAAUCUUGCGCAAUGGGCGAAAGCCUGACGCAGCCAUGCCGCGUGAAUGAUGAAGGUCUUAGGAUUGUAAAAUUCUUUUACCAGGGACGAUAAUGACGGUACCUGGAGAAAAAGCCCCGGCUAACUUCGUGCCAGCCGCCGCAGUAAAAC
rnacentral:rRNA from 1 species